AUAGACAUUGAAAAGUCAUAUCCAGUAUAAUUGACAAAAACAAUAGAAUCACUAUUUUAAAUAGACUGCUAGAUCUCUUUUAGGAUGACUCCAAUAGUUUAUCUAUUGUGAUAUCUAAAAGCCGCUCAGUUUCAAUAGGACAACUCUGGCCUCUGAGUCGUUGUACCUCUUUCUUCAUGCCAGAAAAGAAUCCUGGGUUAAGAUUCUAUUUUAGGGAAGGAAAACGACAAACUUGCAUCAGGACCUUGGUAUCUAUGCAUUAUGAGUGUUUGAACUGGAGUUUCCCAGUGAGCUGUUCGGUGGAACACAGUAUUACCAGUUUGACUGAACCGUGUAUCCCAUGUACCCGGAAACUGUGGACAAGGGGGCUCUGGAGAACCUUCCAAAGACCUCACACAUGUGCUCAAGCAGUGAGCCAACACUGGGAUGUCUGCCUCACAGAAUAACGAAUCAGCAUCAGUUAGAGAAGCAACAACAAUCUGCCAUGGAAGGACUGCAGCCGAUCCCUGUUAACGUGACAUCUGCCCUGUUCCCCCAAUCCAUUCUACUGGUCACGAUGAUACAGGACUUCAAGAUUACAAGGGCAUGGGAUAGUAAAAUCUUUGAUCAUUUCUCUUUCCUUAGACCAUUUCUCCAGCAUAGAUGGAGAUGGCAAUUGGGAAAGCAUUGAAUUAGAUGUAAGACUGGAAUUUCAACUUGAAUGGCUUAAAUUCUGAUGAAGAAAAAUACUCAAAAAGUUACAAGAUCUGCCUGAGAUGCCAUCCAAGGUUGGGAGAGGAGAUUCAAAAGGACAUGAUCAAAACUAGUGACUAGAAAAAAAUAAAGCUAUUUUAUGUUUAUAGGCUAAAUAAACUGCUUUUACAAUGAACGAGCAAUUAUGAAUUUGGACCAAAUUAAUGGAGACUAUUUUAUAAGAGAAGCAGAAAGAGAACGAACAUUUAUUGAGCACACAUUAACAGGUAGGUAGUUUGUAGAGAGUCCGUAUCUAUUAACGUUGCUUAUUCUUACAAGGAAUUACUGGACCAUUUCCUCCUUUACAUAGUGAAACCAAAGCUGAGAGACGUUAAGUAACUCACCCAGGGACAUACAGCUAAUGAAUGGCGGAUCUAGGAUUAAAUUUAGGUAAAUAUGAUGUUAAUGCCGGUAUUUAUUCUGCUGUUCUCCACUGCCACCAACUGAGGUGGACUGUUAGGCAUACUCCAUAUUAAAAUUUCCUUAGCGUCUCCUUUCUUUUUCAUGUCUAAUCUAGUAUAAAAGUCAUUCUUUGAGGUAUGGUAGACUUUAACUGGCUUUGUCAAAUGUGUAUGAUGAUUCUUUGUCAACUCGAAUACGAAUUCUCUAUUAAAAAUGUGUAGAGUCUUGC